AUACGGAGGGUGCGAGCGUUAAUCGGAAUUACUGGGCGUAAAGCGUGCGUAGGCGGUUCGUUAAGUCAGAUGUGAAAGCCCUGGGCUCAACCUGGGAACGGCAUUUGAAACUGGCGGACUAGAGUUUAGUAGAGGGGAGUGGAAUUUCAGGUGUAGCGGUGAAAUGCGUAGAUAUCUGAAGGAACACCAGUGGCGAAGGCGACUCCCUGGACUAGAACUGACGCUGAGGUACGAAAGCGUGGGUAGCAAACAGGAUUAGAUACCCUGGUAGUCCACGCCGUAAACGAUGUCAACUAGCCGUUGGUCCUAUUUACAGGAUUAGUGGCGCAGCUAACGCAUUAAGUUGACCGCCUGGGGAGUACGGCCGCAAGGUUAAA
rnacentral:rRNA from 1 species